rnacentral:piRNA from 1 species
AGCUUAGCAGGUGGAGACAACUCACUUC